rnacentral:snRNA from 1 species
GUGCUCGCUGCAGAAGUACAUAUGCUAAAAGGGGAACCACAGAGAAGAGUAGCACGGCCCCUGCGCAAGGAUGACAUGCAAAUUUGUGAAGAGUUCCAUAUAAUU